rnacentral:sRNA from 1 species
CUGGACCAUCGAAGCUUUCGGAGACAGU